CACUCGAACGGUGAACAUGAACUAAAGUUCUUUUAGCUAGAAAUGCGUUCGCUUGCUGAAGCGUCCUCACUCUCAUCUUGAAUUUCAACAUGGACAGUCGAAAGAAUUGGCUCGAAAUGCUACUAAGGUUAAUCUAUAGACACGUGCUUUGGAUUGCCUCGCAUUGAUGCUUGUUUCUUCGGCUUGCUCACACAUUUUCUACAUACAAUGGCAAAGAUGAAGCUACAAUACUUUACAAUGGAUUGUACUUCCUUGUUCAAGAUUGAUUUGUUGUUUAUACCAGAACAGAUAUGAGGCUUAUGUUGUUGAGAACUUGGAAUGUAAAGCAUUUCACAAUACUAUCAGUUGAAAGUAUUGGAUGCAAAGAAAGGAAGGGCACUGUAAACUGUGGUUGAAGGAGUAAUUUUUCUUUAGUUAAUCAUGUACUAGUUCAAAAUGGAUCUGAAUCGUGAGCACUUCCGGGCGAUGAUUUUCUAUGACUUCAAAGUUGGUUUAAGUAGAGUUCGUAGCUUGGAACGCUUGCGUAAUGCGUUUGGUGACUCCUCGCCUUCCCAAGCCACAGUUUACAGAUGGUUCAGAGAAUUCCAAAGAGGUCGGGGAUCGUUGGUGGAUGAAGAGCGUGUCGGUCGACCAGUCACAGCUGCGACUGACGAAAAUGUCCUAGCUGUGGAACAAAUGUUGAGCGAAGACAAUCGUGUGACUUAUGUACAAAUGCAGGCUACUUUGAAGAUCGGAUCAGCAGCAGUAAAAACCAUCCUUCAUGAAAAACUUAAUGUCAAAAAACUUUGUAGUCGUUGGAUCCCUCAUCAUCUGACAAACGAACAGAAACAGACAAGGGUGAAAUGGUGUCAGGAGAUGCUUCAAAGAUUCGAUAAAGGGAAUUCAAAAGCCAUCUGUGAUAUUAUAACGGGCGAUGAAUCUUGGCUUUAUCAAUACGAGUCUGAAAAUAAAUCAGGUGUAUUAUGGGUAUUUUCUGGUGAAACCCCUCCCAUUAAAAAGGGCCAAAGCAUCGGGAAGAAAAUGAUAUGCUCUUUCUUUUCUGCGAACGGCCAUAUUGAAACUGUAAUAUUGGAAAACCAGAGAAUAGUGACAGCAGAAUGGUAUGCCACUGUAUGUUUGCCACAAGUCUUUGAAAAGCUGAAAACUAGGCAGUCAAAGAUGAAUCUGAAAGGGGUUCUACUACACCAUGAUAGUGUACUAGUUCAUUCAGCAGAAAAAACCGCCAACUUUUUCAAGGAGUUAGGGAUCGAGGUUCUUGGCCAUCCACCUUUUAGUCCUGAUUUAGCACCCUGCGAUUUCUUUUUGUUUCCAAAAGCUAAAGAAAACAUCAGAGGACAACGAUUCGAAUCUUUAGAAGCUGCUGUAGCGACCUACAAGGAAUUUUUAGACAGCAUUCCGAACGAGGAAUGGCGGACGGAAUUUGAUAAAUGGUUCGACCGAAUGAGAACCUGCAUCCGGCUUGAAGGGGAAUACUUCGAAAAGAUAUAAUUGAAAAACUGUAAACGGAUUUAUAGAAACAUUCAACAAGCAAAAAAACCGGGGAUUCAUAUGGUUUACGUAGUCUCAAAAACAUAUCAUCACUUAAAUAUUAGGUAUGCUACGCCUACGUAACAUGUGCAGUAGGACACAAACAUAACCUCUUUAUAAAAAAGCAAAGUCCUCGAGAAUGAAGAUGAAGAAGUAAAGAAUGAAGAUUUAUAUACUUAUGGAAUUACAGUGGUAUCGCGUUUAACGCUACUCUUAUCUGAAUAAAUUUUUUCUUUGUAUGAA